AGUGAACGCUGGCGGUAGGCCUAACACAUGCAAGUCGAACGGCAGCACAGUAAGAGCUUGCUCUUACGGGUGGCGAGUGGCGGACGGGUGAGGAAUACAUCGGAAUCUACUUUUUCGUGGGGGAUAACGUAGGGAAACUUACGCUAAUACCGCAUACGACCUACGGGUGAAAGCAGGGGAUCUUCGGACCUUGCGCGAUUGAAUGAGCCGAUGUCGGAUUAGCUAGUUGGCGGGGUAAAGGCCCACCAAGGCGACGAUCCGUAGCUGGUCUGAGAGGAUGGUCAGCCACACUGGAAGUGGGACACGGUCCAGGCUCCUACGGGAGGCAGCAGUGGGGAAUAUUGGACAAUGGGCGGAAGCCUGAUCCAGCCAUACCGCGUGGGUGAAGAAGGCCUUCGGGUUGUAAAGCCCUUUUGUUGGGAAAGAAAAGCAGCAGGUUAAUACCCCGCUGUUCUGACGGUACCCAAAGAAUAAGCACCGGCUAACUUCGUG
rnacentral:rRNA from 1 species